rnacentral:rRNA from 1 species
AGGGUGCAAACGCUGCAGACUUGGUGUUGGAAGCCCUUUGGGGGGCGAUUCAGUGCCGGAGAGAAGUUGUUAAGUCUGCUACUUGGGGAGUACGUCCGCAAGGAUGAAACUUAAAGGAAUUGGCGGGGGAGCACCGCAACGGGAGGAGCGUGCGGUUUAAUUGGAUUCAACGCCGGGAAGCUCACCAGGGAAGACUGUUACAUGAAGGCCGAGAUGAAGACUCUGCUAGAUUUUCAGAGAGGUGGUGCAUGGCGUCAGUGACU